rnacentral:rRNA from 1 species
UACGUAGGCAGCGAGCGUUGUUCGGAGUUACUGGGCGUAAAGCGUGCGUAGGCGGUGUCUUAAGUUUGUUGUGAAAUCUCCCGGCUUAACCGGGAGGGUGCGGCGAAUACUGAGAUGCUGGAGUGCCGGAGAGGUAAGCGGAAUUCUUGGUGUAGCGGUGAAAUGCGUAGAUAUCAAGAGGAACACCUGAGGUGAAGACGGGUUGCUGGGCCGACACUGACGCUGAGUGCGCGAAAGCCAGGGGAGCAAACGGG